UGGAGACUACUCCCACUUCUUCCUCUCCUACACUCAUUUGUGACCCUCAUUAAAUUUUCUCUUCACCAGGGAACUAAGUUUAAUUUCUAUAUUGCCAUUCCCAGUCUAUAUAUUGCCUUUGCUGUCUGUGCAUCUUUGGUUAUUGAAAAUCUGGGUAAAUUGUUCGUUUAUUUUUGGGAUCAUACCUAACUGAUCUAUAAUCUACAGGUUACCUAAUCAUCAGGACUAGCAGGAAAAUUGAUUUUCCUUGUUUUCUUCUGCUAUAGGUUUCCAAAUGGCUUUUUUUUUGGUUCAGAUUUUCACCCCUUGCAGGAUCCAGCUCCGGUUGCUUUCUAUGCAGAACUAGGAAACCAGAGAGAGUUCUGUUCACCAGGAAAAAAAUGGCACAUCAUAACCAGAUCUAUUCAAUCUUUAUUGUUAAUUUUGCACUAGAAGAGGAGAGCAACAAGCUCAUUGUGCACUGUGCUCAAUGAAAUCGGACUAUCAGAUCUCUGCCUGGGUGUUUUCAAAGCCUUGCUAUGGAGUAUGGGCAGGAUAAUCCAAGGACACUGAGAGUACAUAAUAACUUUGGGGGUAAAAAAAGAAGUAAGGGUGUGAUUUUGAUCAUGGUCCUUGACAAUAUGCUGCUGAAAGACAACUUUAAAUCAGCACUGAUAAAAAUUGUCUGUCAUGUGAGUGAUGUGCAGUAAGACAAUCCGUGGUGAGUCAUAGAGGUCAAGAAUUAACAUCUAGCCUGUUGUUUCUUUUUUUAGAGAAAAUAGCUGACAUUUUGUCUUCUGAUUGCCAGGGAGAGAGACAAGAGUGUCAGAGUUUGUCCAAAUGACUCAAUUUCUUAUUUAGGAACAUAAUAUUUGUCACUCUUUUUAGCUGUUUUUUUUUUUCACUUUAGCUAAAAUAAAGUGUAUUAAGAUACUUCUGUCUCUGAGUUUAUGAAGUCAGUGGAUCCUUUGAAAUGAGUGGGAGCCUAAGGUUUUAGUAUCAGUGCUAUAUCAUACUGCCUUUUAAAAAAAGCGCUGACACUUAACCUUCUUAUAAGAAAUUAUUAUGUGCUGUUGCAAAGAUGCAAAACUCACAGCUGUGAUGUGUACCUUCAAAGAUAAACAGCUGCUAUUAUCUUUCCCUAAUCAGGGUUGUUUUGUAGACCGAGACAAAAAAGAAGUAGGCUCUUGUAAAUGCUGUCUGCAUAUUCCCUCACAAUACAUCCCUUCAAAACCACUGAACUGUCACCAGCUGCCAAUUUUCAUCAAGAAAAGCCUCUCAUUAAGUUCUCUGAGAGCAUUUCUGAGCUGUGCUCACAGGGCUGGCUCUGAGUUCCUCAGUCUCUGGCUGGAUCAGCGCCUGCUCUGCAGUGUCUGUCUGUCAUGCAUCCGCAUUGCUUCAAGGCUUGUGCUGCUCACCUGGAUGAAUGGACGGACGGACGGACAGAGGGAGCAGAGUGCUUUGAUGAGUAGCUUGUUUUUGCAGAUGAAAAUGGAGAAGGUGGUUUGAUUUCCUAUGACCCACUCUCCUGGUAGCUUCUGAUCUCUCCUUGCAAUUGAGAAAUUGUUGAGAUUUUUGGAGGUGCCCAGGGUGAUAAAUGUAGGACAGCGAUACUGUGAACCAUUGUAAGCUGGAACUCUUUUGUGUGCUUGCCUGGAAUGGCAAAGAGCUGGUCUUAUGUUCUUAAUGCCUCCCUUUGGACACGUUGAAAAUACACUAUGCUUACACUUGCUAUUUUAAUAACCUUUUUUUCACUCAUCAUCUGUAGGAUAGGAGGAAGACUCUGAGUCAAGUUUUGCUGCUAUAGCCCUGUCUUUUACUGCCACAUGGGAAUAUGAAGGAUGGAUCACUGAAAACAAUAACUUUUUUUCUUGACACAAAAAAUUGCUAGUUUUCAAGUUAUAGGUUGCUUGCCAAUGACAUGGAAAUUCUGAAAAAGUUGCAUGCAAAUAAUUUACUUGCAUAAAACUCUAAUUUACACCAACUGUGUUAUUAACUAUAUAACAGUCUGCUUGUGAAUGCUCCAGGCUAAGGGGAUCCCCAAUUGUAUUUGAGGGUGGCUGGUGCCAGUAAGGGAGGAUGGAGAGUUUCAUGCAUGACAAGCCAGAUCUGCAGUGUGUAACUUGGUUUUGGAAGGUAAGGGAAGGGUAUGGAAGAGCAACUCUGGGAGAAAAUAGAACAAGCUUGCAGAAGUUUUACAGUGAAAACUGUUAUUCAAAUUUGUUCUUAUGUGUUUAUUAAUUUUUAGUAUAAUUUAUGACUAUAAUACCUUUACUAUUAUAGGUCGAAAACCUCAUAAACCAGUCCUUGGCUUCAUCUGUGAAGAAGAGCUGAGGUCACUCUUCUUUGCUUCAUGUUGAAAGAGAACAAAUGUGAGAGAAUGGAAAGGACUGUGAGCUUUUCUUGUCUUGCAAAGAGAAAAAAUUUGGCAAGAGCCAAGAAAUACUAACAAAAAUCUCUUCUCCUCUUACUGCAACUUUCAUUCUUCCACUCAAUUCACCAAUUUUUAAAUAAUUUUAAAAAUAUAAUACAUUCUGUAAAAACAGCCAUGUAAAAAAUAUUUACAGACCAUUUUCAUCAUCAAGUCUGACCUCCUGAAAUAAAACAAGCCAUGAAAUUUCA